AAUCCAAAGAAUUUGGGAAAUUGUGGGAACCGUCGUGUUAAACGCAGCCUCUGCCAGGUUGGCGCAGGCCUGUUUCUAAGUAAUUCAAUCUGAGGCAGGGAGGAGCUGUAAGUGUGCACGCACGCACACACUCGCGCGCUCACGCACGCCCCGCCUGCAGGGGCCAGCGGCGGCAGGAGGCCCGAUCUUCCCGUGUUGAUUCCUGAGAGAGUGGCCAAGGCACAUGGGCUCGUGGCCAGGAUUCAUUCAUCCAUUCACUCCGGCAUUUACUGAGCGCCUACAAUGCGUCAGGCACGUGUAAGAUCUCCUGGGCAGCCUGUGUGCAUGGUGGAUGACUACCUCUCCUCCCCAGGGGCUCAAACACCAAAACUCCCUUCUGAAGAGGGCUUACUGGAUCAUCCCAACCCCAAUUUCUUGAUCUUCAACGAAUCAAGGAAAGAGAGAAUGAGGAAGGAACAACAGAGAGAGAGAGGCCACCGCUCACACCGCAAACUCAUGGGAAGGAUUCCGCACUGCCAGUGACACCAAGCCAAGGUUCAAGAGACUUCUAGCGGCACCUCUCUUGGCGCCCUGGCUGAUACGCCAGGCAAUCAACCAUGUCUCCAUUUUUGCAUUAGCCACUGAAAAUGCUCAGAACUGAUUUUGCAUCUUUCCUACGAGCCACAGGACCUUUGGCCAAGUCACUUAAACUCCAUGAGCCUAAAUCUCCAGGUGGGGUUAAUUACCACUUGUCUCUUAGGGUAGCUGUGGAAAUAAAAUGAAAGAUUAUGAUAUAAUUUAUUAAGCAUAUAUAUUAAUUAUUGAGUACCCAUUAUGUGCUCAGCACAUGCCUUAUUUAUUUAUUUAUUUAAUAUGUUUAUAAAUAUUUUAUAUAUA